rnacentral:rRNA from 1 species
UAGGGAAUCUUCGGCAAUGGGGGGAACCCUGACCGAGCAACGCCGCGUGAGUGAAGAAGGUUUUCGGAUCGUAAAGCUCUGUUGUUAAGGAAGAACGAGUGUGAGAAUGGAAAGUUCAUACUGUGACGGUACUUAACCAGAAAGGGACGGCUAACUACGUGCCAGCAGCCGCGGUAAUACGUAGGUCCCGAGCGUUGUCCGGAUUUAUUGGGCGUAAAGCGAGCGCAGGCGGUUAGAUAAGUCUGAAGUUAAAGGCAGUGGCUCAACCAUUGUAGGCUUUGGAAACUGUUUAACUUGAGUGCAGAAGGGGAGAGUGGAAUUCCAUGUGUAGCGGUGAAAUGCGUAGAUAUAUGGAGGAACACCGGUGGCGAAAGCGGCUCUCUGGUCUGUAACUGACGCUGAGGCUCGAAAGCGUGGGGAGCGAACAGGAUUAGAUACCCUGGUAGUCCACGCCGUAAACGAUGAGUGCUAGGUGUUAGGUCCUUUCCGGGACUUAGUGCUGCAGCUAACGCAUUAAGCACUCCGCCUGGGGAGUACGACCGCAAGGUU